AGCAAAGAGGCAGAUCCAAGAUGGGGGACGAGAUACGAAAACUUAUCAAGAAAAGAAAAAAAAAAAAGGAGAAAACGCUUCCUCGUUCAUCUUUCCAGCCACCACAUCCAUUCAACACAACCAUCUACAAUUCCCUUUCCUCUCCGUUCGAUCUCCACUCAUCAUCAUGUUCCUCUCCAUCACCGAUUCACCUUUAAUAUCAUCACCGAUUCACCUUUAAUAUCAUCACCAUCUCCGCUCAGACGCUCCCUUCCUCAACUCGCCGUUUCAAUUUCAGUCAAUUUCACACGCAUCACCAUCUUCUCAUCACCGUCCAACUCACCACAGAAACUCCAAUCUCAAAACUCCCUCCGUGAAACCUCAGUCUGUCGUUUAAUCUUACACUCGCAAUUGCUCACGCCAUAUAACCAUUUCUCCUCCGUUCAACUAUCGUCAACAAGACCGUAUCUCCUUCUCACACUCCAGCAAUACCAGACAACAACCUUAUCCGCAAGCACAACAACCACCUGCUCGUGA